rnacentral:lncRNA from 1 species
CAAUGAUCAUCGGUUACCUAUUUAAUUAAUGGCUAAUGAUUCAUCUAGGAAGAAGAUUUUGAAUAAAAACGCAAUGAAAUUCACAUUUAUUUAGAUAUGUUAAAAGUAAUAUUUUAUAUAUAUAUAUAUAUAUAUAUAUUUUUUAUUCUCUUUAUUACUGGUUUCGCUUAUUUUUAGGUGUUAGUUUAUAUUGUGAAAGUGGUGGUCGCUUUCUAUUUGGAUAAUGCGUGUGCAUAUAAUGAACUUUAGAUCACGAAGAUGGUCAUAUCUCCAACGUAUCAAUUCAUCAAAUCAGCUUUGAUCUUAAGCAGUUUCAUUUUUUUUAUUUUUUUCACUUCAUUUCUUGUUAUUGAAAACAAUAGAAUUAUUGCAACUCUCUUAAUCCCAAUUAUUUUACUUUUUAAUAAUAGAAAUAUUACAAUUCUUAUCAUCCUAUGUACAUGUUUAGUGUGCUUUAAGCUCUAAACAUAUAUAAACACCACAUACAUGAAUUAGCUUGUGG